UACGUAGGGGGCAAGCGUUGUCCGGAAUCAUUGGGCGUAAAGAGCGUGUAGGCGGCCCGAUAAGUCCGCUGUGAAAGUCCAGGGCUCAACCCUGGGAUGCCGGUGGAUACUGUCGGGCUCGAGUCCGGAAGAGGAGUGUGGAAUUCCUGGUGUAGCGGUGAAAUGCGCAGAUAUCAGGAGGAACACCGGUGGGCGAAGGCGGGUCUCUGGGCCGAUAUUGACGCUGGAGGAGCGAAAGCGUGGGGAGCGAACAGG
rnacentral:rRNA from 1 species